rnacentral:rRNA from 1 species
GAUGAACGCUGGCGGCGUGCCUAAUACAUGCAAGUAGAACGCUGAAGGAGGAGCUUGCUCUUCUGGAUGAGUUGCGAACGGGUGAGUAACGCGUAGGUAACCUGCCUGGUAGCGGGGGAUAACUAUUGGAAACGAUAGCUAAUACCGCAUGACAACAGUUAUUGCAUGAUAACUGUUUAAAAGGGGCAACUGCUCCACUACCAGAUGGACCUGCGUUGUAUUAGCUAGUUGGUGAGGUAACGGCUCACCAAGGCGACGAUACAUAGCCGACCUGAGAGGGGGAUCGGCCACACUGGGACUGAGACACGGCCCAGACUCCUACGGGAGGCAGCAGUAGGGAAUCUUCGGCAAUGGACGGAAGUCUGACCGAGCAACGCCGCGGGAGUGAAGAAGGGUUUCGGAUCGUAAAGCUCUGUUGUAAGAGAAGAACGAGUGUGAGAGUGGAAAGUUCACACUGUGACGGUAUCUUACCAGAAAGGGACGGCUAACUACGUG